rnacentral:rRNA from 1 species
UUCUGGACGUCGACCGGCGCACGGGUGAGUAUCGCGUAUCCAACCUGCCCCCUUACUUGGGGAUACCCCGUUGAAAGACGGCCUAAUACCCGAUGUGUUUCAUUGACGGCAUCCGAUAUGAAACAAAGGUUUUCCGGUAAGGGAUGGGGAUGCGUCUGAUUAGCUAGUUGGCGGGGCAACGGCCCACCAAGGCGACGAUCAGUAGGGGUUCUGAGAGGAAGGUCCCCCACAUUGGAACUGAGACACGGUCCAA